UACGGAGGAUGCGAGCGUUAUCCGGAUUUAUUGGGUUUAAAGGGUGCGCAGGCGGCGUGUCAAGUCAGCGGUAAAAUGUCGGGGCUCAACCCCGGCCGGCCGUUGAAACUGGCGUGCUCGAGUUGGAGAGAAGUAUGCGGAAUUCGUGGUGUAGCGGUGAAAUGCAUAGAUAUCACGAAGAACCCCGAUUGCGAAGGCAGCAUACCGGCUCCACACUGACGCUGGGGCACGAAAGCGUGGGUAUCGAACAGG
rnacentral:rRNA from 1 species